rnacentral:rRNA from 1 species
GACGAACGCUGGCGGCGUGCCUAAUACAUGCAAGUAGAACGCUGAAGCUUGGUGCUUGCACCGAGCGGAUGAGUUGCGAACGGGUGAGUAACGCGUAGGUAACCUGCCUGGUAGCGGGGGAUAACUAUUGGAAACGAUAGCUAAUACCGCAUAACAGUAGAUGUUGCAUGACAUUUGCUUAAAAGGUGCAAUUGCAUCACUACCAGAUGGACCUGCGUUGUAUUAGCUAGUUGGUGGGGUAACGGCUCACCAAGGCGACGAUACAUAGCCGACCUGAGAGGGUGAUCGGCCACACUGGGACUGAGACACGGCCCAGACUCCUACGGGAGGCAGCAGUAGGGAAUCUUCGGCAAUGGACGGAAGUCUGACCGAGCAACGCCGCGUGAGUGAAGAAGGUUUUCGGAUCGUAAAGCUCUGUUGUAAGAGAAGAACGAGUGUGAGAGUGGAAAGUUCACACUGUGACGGUAUCUUACCAGAAAGGGACGGCUAACUACGUGCAGCAGCCGCGGUAAUACGUAGGUCCCGAGCGUUGUCCGGAUUUAUUGGGCGUAAAGCGAGCGCAGGCGGUUAGAUAAGUCUGAAGUUAAAGGCUGUGGCUUAACCAUAGUACGCUUUGGAAACUGUUUAACUUGAGUGCAAGAGGGGAGAGUGGAAUUCCAUGUGUAGCGGUGAAAUGCGUAGAUAUAUGGAGGAACACCGGUGGCGAAAGCGGCUCUCUGGCUUGUAACUGACGCUGAGGCUCGAAAGCGUGGGGAGCAAACAGG